AACAGGAUUAGAUACCCUGGUAGUCCACGCUGUAAACGGUGUCGAUUUGGAGUUUGUUGCCUAGAGUGAUGGGCUCCGAAGCUAACGCGAUAAAUCGACCGCUGGGGAGUACGGCCGCAAGGUUAAAACUCAAAUGAAUUGACGGGGGCCCGCACAAGCGGUGGAGCAUGUGGUUUAAUUCGAUGCAACGCGAAGAACCUUACCUGGUCUUGACAUCCAUAGAAUUCUGCAGAGAUGUGGGAGUGCCUUCGGGAACUAUGAGACAGGUGCUGCAUGGCUGUCGUCAGCUCGUGUUGUGAAAUGUUGGGUUAAGUCCCGCAACGAGCGCAACCCUUAUUCUUUGUUGCCAGCGAUUUGGUCGGGAACUCAAAGGAGACUGCCGUUGAUAAAGCGGAGGAAGGUGGGGACGACGUCAAGUCAUCAUGGCCCUUACGACCAGGGCUACACACGUGCUACAAUGGCGUAUACAAAGGGAAGCGAAGGUGCGAGCUGGAGCGGAUCUCAUAAAGUACGUCUAAGUUCGGAUUGGAGUCUGCGACUCGACUCCAUGAAGUCGGAAUCGCUAGUAAUCGUAGAUCAGAUGCUACGGUGAAUACGUUCCCGGGCCUUGUACACACCGCCCGUCACACCAUGGGAGUGGGUUGCACCAGAAGUAGAUAGCUUAACCGCGAGGGGGGCGUUUACCACGGUGUGAUUCAUGACUGGGGUGAAGUCGUAACAAGGUAACCA
rnacentral:rRNA from 1 species